rnacentral:rRNA from 1 species
GUGGCGAACGGGUGAGUAACACGUGAGCAACCUGCCCUGGACUCUGGGAUAAGCGCUGGAAACGGCGUCUAAUACUGGAUAUGAGACGUGAUCGCAUGGUCGUGUUUGGAAAGAUUUUUCGGUCUGGGAUGGGCUCGCGGCCUAUCAGCUUGUUGGUGAGGUAAUGGCUCACCAAGGCGUCGACGGGUAGCCGGCCUGAGAGGGUGACCGGCCACACUGGGACUGAGACACGGCCCAGACUCCUACGGGAGGCAGCAGUGGGGAAUAUUGCACAAUGGGCGGAAGCCUGAUGCAGCAACGCCGCGUGAGGGAUGACGGCCUUCGGGUUGUAAACCUCUUUUAGCAGGGAAGAAGCGAGAGUGACGGUACCUGCAGAAAAAGCGCCGGCUAACUACGUGCCAGCAGCCGCGGUAAUACGUAGGGCGCAAGCGUUAUCCGGAAUUAUUGGGCGUAAAGAGCUCGUAGGCGGUUUGUCGCGUCUGCUGUGAAAUCCCGAGGCUCAACCUCGGGCCUGCAGUGGGUACGGGCAGACUAGAGUGCGGUAGGGGAGAUUGGAAUUCCUGGUGUAGCGGUGGAAUGCGCAGAUAUCAGGAGGAACACCGAUGGCGAAGGCAGAUCUCUGGGCCGUAACUGACGCUGAGGAGCGAAAGGGUGGGGAGCAAACAGGCUUAGAUACCCUGGUAGUCCACCCCGUAAACGUUGGGAACUAGUUGUGGGGACCAUUCCACGGUUUCCGUGACGCAGCUAACGCAUUAAGUUCCCCGCCUGGGGAGUACGGCCGCAAGGCUAAAACUCAAAGGAAUUGACGGGGACCCGCACAAGCGGCGGAGCAUGCGGAUUAAUUCGAUGCAACGCGAAGAACCUUACCAAGGCUUGACAUAUACGAGAACGGGCCAGAAAUGGUCAACUCUUUGGACACUCGUAAACAGGUGGUGCAUGGUUGUCGUCAGCUCGUGUCGUGAGAUGUUGGGUUAAGUCCCGCAACGAGCGCAACCCUCGUUCUAUGUUGCCAGCACGUAAUGGUGGGAACUCAUGGGAUACUGCCGGGGUCAACUCGGAGGAAGGUGGGGAUGACGUCAAAUCAUCAUGCCCCUUAUGUCUUGGGCUUCACGCAUGCUACAAUGGCCGGUACAAAGGGCUGCAAUACCGUGAGGUGGAGCGAAUCCCAAAAAGCCGGUCCCAGUUCGGAUUGAGGUCUGCAACUCGACCUCAUGAAGUCGGAGUCGCUAGUAAUCGCAGAUCAGCAACGCUGCGGUGAAUACGUUCCCGGGUCUUGUACACACCGCCCGUCAAGUCAUGA